rnacentral:rRNA from 1 species
GUAGGUGGCAAGCGUUGUCCGGAAUUAUUGGGCGUAAAGCGCGCGCAGGCGGUUCUUUAAGUCUGAUGUGAAAGCCCACGGCUCAACCGUGGAGGGUCAUUGGAAACUGGAGAACUUGAGUACAGAAGAGGAAAGCGGAAUUCCACGCGUAGCGGUGAAAUGCGUAGAGAUGUGGAGGAACACCAGUGGCGAAGGCGGCUUUCUGGUCUGUAACUGACGCUGAGGCGCGAAAGCGUGGGGGAGCAAACAGGAUUAGAUACCCUGGUAGUCCACGCCGUAAACGAUGAGUGCUAAGUGUUAGGGGGUUUCCGCCCUUAGUGCUGCAGCUAACGCAUUAAGCACUCCGCCUGGGAGUACGGCCGCAAGGCUG